rnacentral:ncRNA from 1 species
UUAUUGUAUGAAAGGAGAAAAGGUGAGAACUUCCUUUGACAAAGUUGGAAGAGGCUCUCGGGCUUGGCAACACGCAUAUGGUUAAGGCAUUGCCACCUACUUCGUGGUAUCUAACCACUGUUUUUU